GUUAACUGAUGACUAGGGCUGUAGAACCCUUGGUUAUGUAUGAGACACAGACUCUUACCCUCAUUACCUAACCUUAAGUCACAUUGAGGUCUUGCCCUCCAGGUGUUUAGGAAAAGGAGUCUCUUGGCAGCCCUUAUGUAGGCCCUAGCACCCUGUCAUGCCUCUUCAACCACGUGUGUAACUCUCCAAGAGAGUUGUAUUGCCUGGGGAAAUGAGUCGGUACUAGAAAGACAUCGGUGAGACAUUUGCCUUGGACUCGCCGCUGUGCGGCUGGCUAAUCUCUUCAAGCCACCAAAGGGGCUUCUCAUACCUCCAGUUAGAUCAGACUUGACAAGAACGGAAGCAUAUGGAAAUCAAUGAGCAGGCGCUUUUUGUAAGUGCUUCUGAGAUAAUUACAGUUUGAAAGACUUCCGAAAUUAGAAUAUUUGACAGCAUAGUUCCUUGAAGGGGGCAACUUAGAAGACCAUUUUCAGAAAGGAUUUGUAGAGAAUCUGUGAACAAGCAGGUUUGCGGCCUGAGUGGGGAACCUGCUUUCAGAUUAAACUGCCCAGCCAGACACAGAGUACCCCAGACUUGGUGUGCUUGCUAGAGUCCAUAAAAAUCAGUGCUUGUUUUAGCAAAUACUCCCCACACCCAGAUACGGGGUAAGAGAAGAGUAGAGGAAAGUCAGGUGCUUUUCUCUGUGUGUGCGUGCGUGUGUGCGUGUGUGCGUGCGUGCGUGCGUGCGUGCGUGUGUGUGUGUGCGCGUGUGCGCGAGUGAUUGUGUGUUGGUGUGCGUGCAUAUAUGAGGGCUAAGGUGCAUGAUUUUUUCUUUCUCAAGGAUCAUGGCAGGAUCACAGAACUCUUAUCCAAGUGAGAUCCAGGUCUCUGAAUAUCUUUUUGUAAAUAAUAAUUAAAAGCUCCUCACCAAAUUCAAGCUUGUAUAUUAUAUUUUCUUUCAAUGUUUUUAAAUUUAAGUUUUAUUGUUUUGUAUGUAAAUAUGUGGACCCAGGAACUGUUAUUAAUGAGCAAAAAGUUACUGUUCAGGGCAGUGAUUCUGUUUAAUAACCAGACAAAAAUGUAGACGAGCUUUUUAAAGCCAUAUAGUUUUAACUCUGUACAGUAGGUACCGGCCUGUACUAUUGUAACAAUAACUCUAGCAAUGUAUAGUGUAUCUAUAUAGUUUGGAGUGCCUUCGCUUCCAUGUUUUUGGGUUUCUUGUUUUGUUUUGUUUUUUAAUUUCCUUUAUCCGUGUGUCCCUGUGGCCCCACUCCCUCUGAAGUAACAACAGAACAGCACCUUUGCCUACUCCACAGUUCCCCUGGGGAGAGGAACCCCUGUUGGAAAUCUCACUUCAUUCUGGCCUCGCCUUUGUUUUGGUUCUGGGUGUGUCUGUCUCCUUGGUAACGGUGACAUCCAUCCGUUUGUCUGUUCAGGGACUUGGUUGGGUGCUGGGGGGUCCUAGAGCUGGAGGGUGUCAGAUAGAUUGGAUUUUGCUCGUCUUUUCUCCCAGCCCUAAGGUGGAUCGUAAGCAGAUUCUGGGAGCCCCCGUGCUCACUCCCUCCUUACCUACUUCCCUCCCAAACGAGAGAGAAAGAUUGGUUUUAUUUUUUAAAAAAUAAAUCACUGUCCUGGUGGCGCUUGCGUGCCCCGGUGACAUUGUUAGUAGUUACUGCAGAGGUGCUGUGCAGACGAGGGCUGUCGAGUGGACUCUGAGCCCGUUCCUCCCUCCUACCAUCUUGCUGGAUGAAAUAGCAUUUUAAUUUCUUUUUUAAAAAUCAGUUUCUUAACUGUGCCGAAUAUGGCCUUUUUGAAAGGAAAAAAAGUAUUCGUUUUGCCACCAACUACUUCAUGUGUCUUGAAUAGAAGAAGAAAAACAAAAACACAAAAAUCACUACCAAACCAAAGGUUGCUAUUUUUGAGGCAUCACGAGCUCAUUGCGCACGGCAGGAGAAUGCACCUUCUCUCCCAUGACAUACUGUCAGGCUUUUUAAGUCCUUAAUUCUUUUUUAGACCCACUUCUUAGGUUUGUGUUUGAGCAAAGUAUGCCUGCACGGCCAUCUUGUCCACACCAACGCAGAGGUCCUGAGAGGACUCCUGUACUCUCUAGCCCUGUGGAUGUAAAGACACUGGCAUUUCUGUUACCUUCUCUUCCCUUCGCAAGGGUUUUAACUUUGGAGUCUUCCAAAGAAAGUUUGGCCAAUGCCAGAUCUCCCAGAGUUGGGGUUUUUGUUACUAUUUUUUCUUCGUUUUAAAUCAAAAUUGUGUCUGGUUCCUAUUUACACUACUGAUUGUUCUAAUCCCAGAGAUGAACACGUUUCUCCCCUGUAUGAAAAGUAAGCACCCUUUAUGGUGAAACCUGUCUCUCCUGGUAGAAACUGAAGCCACUGAAAACCAACAGCUAGAAGCACAGGAGAAUCCCAGGUGAAGGUCUCCCUUGAGAGUCUUCGGAAGCCAUCCUUUGGGUUUGGAUCCUUUUCACAGGGCUACGCCAUUUUACUCAAGUCCGUUGCUCCGUUGUGCAGUCUCCACAAUACAAGCAAAAUGACAGCCAGUACAUAAGGGGUUAGCUUGACAAAGUAGACUUCCUUGUGUUAAUUUUUAAGUUCUUUUCUUAACUAUAUCUGUCUAUAGGCAGAUACAGAUAGGUCUAUGGAAAUGUGCUUGCCUGUAAAAUUUGCAUUUAUAAAUGUGUUGCGAUGGAUCACUUGGGCCUGUACACAUCCGAUUAGCGUGACCGCUUCCAUCAUAAAAACAAAUCUAAACAAAAUUUAUUAUUAUUAUAUAUAUACAUAAAGGACUGUGGGUUGUAUACAAACUAUUGCAAACACUUGUGCAAAUCUGUCUUGAUAUAAAGGAAAAGCAAACGCUGUGUAACAUUACUACUUGAAUGCCUCUGUGACUGAAUUUUUUUUUCAUUUUAAAUAUAAACUUUUUUGUGGAAAGUAUGCUCAAUGUUUUUUUCCCCCUUUCCCCCACUCCCUUGUAAAUACAUUUGGUUCUAUGUGACUUGGUUUGGAAAUAGUUAACUGGUACUGUAAUUUGCAUUAAAUAAAAAGUAGGUUAGCCUGGUAAUGAAAUUAAAAUCCCCAAGUGUGUGGUCUUUAUUUCAGUGCCCACCCCUCUUUCCGCACCUACCUACUUUACCAUUACAACAUGUAGUCGCACACUGCCAUCUCACCCCUCACUGGGGAAACACGAACCCUUGUUCUAAAAGCCAGGACUCUCAUUUGAAAUGACCUUGCUCUGAUGUGUAGACAGGAGGUGCAGCUUCUGGCUUGGAAACCCCUGGACUUAAUGUAGAGAAAGCUUUGCAGACACUGCUUUGGGGGAAAGAAGUCCCUGAAAGGGACAGUUGUAAAAACAUGUAUAAGCGGCCGUCUUUGGUUGCUGUGUCCAUGGUUUGGUGUGGCUGUAUUUAUUUUAACUUCCAUAUUCUUAGUAACGGUCGUUGGGAGUCUCUGUAAACCAUGAACACCACGGACAUUGGGUCUGUACCACCCAUGUAACCAACACGUGUUCGAGUCUGCUCAUUUCCAAUACUGGAUAAUGUAUGUUAACAUGUUAUGUCUCUUAGUGCAAACAGAAACACCAUUUUUUAGGGCUGGCUCAUGGUCAGGCCUAAAGGUUAGAUAUAAGGUCAUGUGACUGCUGCUUCAAUAAAGACAAAUUUAUAUUCGACUAAGCGUGGUCUUUUAUUUAGUGAGCUAGUUACAUUGACAUUUUUAGAAGCUGGAUGUGGUACCACGUGCCUGUAAUUCCUGCAGCGGCAGAAGGGGUUGGGUUAGCAGUGGGCUGGUUUGAUUCACUGCCCAUUCUGGAGAGGUCUUAUGCCAACUGCCCCUCACAACCCUGAAAGGUUCCUUAUGCCUGAAUCCUUC
ensembl:lncRNA